rnacentral:rRNA from 1 species
GAUGAACGCUGGCGGCGUGCCUAAUACAUGCAAGUCGAGCGAACAGACGAGGAGCUUGCUCCUCUGACGUUAGCGGCGGACGGGUGAGUAACACGUGGAUAACCUACCUAUAAGACUGGGAUAACUUCGGGAAACCGGAGCUAAUACCGGAUAAUAUACUGAACCGCAUGGUUCAAUAGAGAAAUACGGUUUUGCUGUCACUUAUAGGUUGAUCCCUGCCGCAUUAGCUAGUUGGUAAGGUAACGGCUUACCACGGCAACGCUGCGUAGCCCACCUGACAGGGUGACCAGCCACACUGGAACUGAGACACGGUCCAGACGACUAAGGGAGGGAGCAGUAGGGAAUCGUCCGCAAUGGGCGAAAGCCUGACGGAGAAACGCCGCGUGAGUGAUGAAGGUCUUCGGAUCGUAAAACUCUGUUAUUAGGGAAGAACAAAUGUGUAAGUAACUAUGCACGUCUUGACGGUACCUAAUGAGAAAGCCACGGCUAACUACGUG